rnacentral:rRNA from 1 species
AUGGAGCGGUCGGCGGCGGCUCCCGGUGGUGCGAUGCAGCGCUUGCGCGGCGGCCCGGAGCUUCGUGCUGCAACGGUGCGUCGCCGGCGGCUGCAAUGGAGCUUCACCCGCGAAGCCCAGAGCUGUGAAGCAGCGCCCGGCGCUCCAAUGGAGCUUCCCCGGCGAGCCCGGAGCUGUGAAGCAGCGCCCGGCGCUCCAAUGGAGCUUCACCGGCGAGCCCGGAGCUGCUCUGCAGCGGGUGGUGCGGCGUUGGAGCUCCGCCGGGGCUGCAAUGGAGCUCAGCCGGAGUUGCAAUGGAACUUCGUCGGAGCAAUGGAGCUCAGCCAGCGUUGGAGCUCCGCCGGGGCUGCAAUGGAGCUCAGUCGGGGUUGCAAUGGAGCCGCCGGGGCUGCAGUGAAGCACGCCAAAGGGUCGUCAAGAUUUCGUCGGGGUUGCAAUGGAGCCGCCGGAGUUGCAGUGAAGCGCGCCGGAGCUGCAGUGGAGCAUGCCGGAGGGUUGUCGAAACUUCGUUGA